UUGUUAGAAGCGGCCAAGUGACUUCGCCCCUCCGACCCCGCGGCGAGUCACUGAACAGUGUUAACCACACAGAGGGAGGUAGCAUCGGCAUUAAAGAUUAUCCGUAAAGGGCUUCACCCUGUACAGCACUAGGGACCAGUGGAUAUGAGUGGUAUCAGCUUGUGGGGCUUCCAGAAUGUGUGCAUACCACAUUACCAAGGAGCAGCGUGAGCCUACAGGCCAGCAUGAAGACCAAACUGCAAAUCACCAAAAA
ensembl:antisense Gm16095 predicted gene 16095